AGCUAAUAGAUACCCGGGUAGUCCACGCCCUAAACGAUGUCGACUGGUUGUUGGUGGGGUUAAACCCAUUAGUAAACGAAAGCUAAACGCGUGAAAGUCGACCGCCUGGGGAGUACGGCCGCAAGGUUAAAACUCAAAGGAAUUGACGGGGACCCGCACAAGCGGUGGAUGAUGUGGAUUAAUUCGAUGCAACGCGAAGAACCUUACCUACCCUUGACAUGCCAGGAACCCUGCUGAGAGGUGGGGGUGCCCGAAAGGGAACCUGGACACAGGUGCUGCAUGGCUGUCGUCAGCUCGUGUCGUGAGAUGUUGGGUUAAGUCCCGCAACGAGCGCAACCCUU
rnacentral:rRNA from 1 species